UGGGGAAUAUUGCACAAUGGGGGAAACCCUGAUGCAGCGACGCCGCGUGGAGGAAGAAGGUCUUCGGAUUGUAAACUCCUGUUGUUGAGGAAGAUAAUGACGGUACUCAACAAGGAAGUGACGGCUAACUACGUGCCAGCAGCCGCGGUAAAACGUAGGUCACAAGCGUUGUCCGGAAUUACUGGGUGUAAAGGGAGUGCAGGCGGGCGAUCAAGUUGGAAGUGAAAUCCAUGGGCUCAACCCAUGAACUGCUUUCAAAACUGGUCGUCUUGAGUAGUGCAGAGGUAGGCGGAAUUCCCGGUGUAGCGGUGGAAUGCGUAGAUAUCGGGAGGAACACCAGUGGCGAAGGCGGCCUACUGGGCACCAACUGACGCUGAGGCUCGAAAGUGUGGGUAGCAAACAGGAUUAGAUACCCUGGUAGUCCACACCGUAAACGAUGAUUACUAGGUGUUGGGAGAUUGACCCUCUCAGUGCCGCAGUUAACACAAUAAGUAAUCCACCUGGGGAGUACGACCGCAAGGUUGAAACUCAAAGGAAUUGACGGGGGCCCGCACAAGCAGUGGAGUAUGUGGUUUAAUUCGAAGCAACGCGAAGAACCUUACCAGGUCUUGACAUCCGAUGAAUAGCUUAGAGAUAAGUGAAGUCCUUCGGGACAUCGAGACAGGUGGUGCAUGGUUGUCGUCAGCUCGUGUCGUGAGAUGUUGGGUUAAGUCCCGCAACGAGCGCAACCCUUAUUGCCAGUUACUACGUAAGAGGACUCUGGCGAGACUGCCGUUGACAAAACGGAGGAAGGUGGGGAUGACGUCAAAUCAUCAUGCCCUUUAUGACCUGGGCUACACACGUACUACAAUGGCGUUUAACAAAGAGAAGCAAGACCGCGAGGUGGAGCAAAACUCAAAAACAACGUCUCAGUUCAGAUUGCAGGCUGCAACUCGCCUGCAUGAAGUCGGAAUUGCUAGUAAUCGUGGAUCAGCAUGCCGCGGUGAAUACGUUCCC
rnacentral:rRNA from 1 species